GCCUGAAGGCAAAUCAGUUCACUGGAUUUGCUGUUAAGGACUAGAGGUUAGAAGGGACCC
rfam:Tganda S virus 3' untranslated region, partial sequence.